rnacentral:tRNA from 1 species
GUAGGCAUAGCUCUGUGGUAGAGCAUGUGCUUAGCAAGUGUGAGGUCCUGGGUUCAAACCCCAGUACCUCUA